rnacentral:tRNA from 7 species
GGCCCCGUAGCUCAGCUGGAUAGAGCAUGUGACUUCUAAUCUCAGGGUCGCCGGUUCGAGCCCGGCCGGGGUCACGA